rnacentral:rRNA from 1 species
GACGAACGCUGGCGGCGUGCUUAACACAUGCAAGUCGAACGGAAAGGCCCUGCUUUUGUGGGGUGCUCGAGUGGCGAACGGGUGAGUAACACGUGAGUAACCUGCCCUUGACUUUGGGAUAACUUCAGGAAACUGGGGCUAAUACCGGAUCGGAGCUCCUGCUGCAUUGUGGGGGUGGGAAAGUUUCGGCGGUUGGGGAUGGACUCGCGGCUUAUCAGCUUGUUGGUGGGGUAGUGGCUUACCAAGGCUUUGACGGGUAGCCGGCCUGGGAGGGUGACCGGCCACAUUGGGACUGAGAUACGGCCCAGACUCCUACGGGAGGCAGCAGUGGGGAAUAUUGCACAAUGGGCGGAAGCCUGAUGCAGCAACGCCGCGUGCGGGAUGACGGCCUUCGGGUUGUAAACCGCUUUCGCCUGUGACGAAGCGUGAGUGACGGUAAUGGGUAAAGAAGCACCGGCUAACUACGUG